UCCCUGGUGGUCUAGCAGCCAAGGAUCCUGCGCUCUCACCAGCCUGGGUUCAAUUCCCAGGCAGGGAA